rnacentral:rRNA from 1 species
UACGUAGGGUGCGAGCGUUAAUCGGAAUUACUGGGCGUAAAGCGUGCGCAGGCGGUUUGUUAAGGUCGUCGUGAAAGCCCCGGGCUCAACCUGGGAACUGCGAUGGAAACUGGCAAGCUUGAGUGUGGCAGAGGGGGGUGGAAUUCCGCGUGUAGCAGUGAAAUGCGUAGAGAUGCGGAGGAACACCGAUGGCGAAGGCAGCCCCCUGGGCCAGCACUGACGCUCAGGCACGAAAGCGUGGGGAGCGAACAGG